rnacentral:pre_miRNA from 1 species
AGUUUUGCAGGUUUGCAUUUCAGCAUACACAUAAUACGGCUGUGCAAAUCCAUGCAAAACUGA